GCCCAAGACUCAAACACAAGAAAGAUACAAAAUUGGGGGAGAGGAGGCUUCAUUUUACUUGACAUUACUGAAAUCUGAAGAAUGAUGAUGACAAGAGACCAGACAUCCAACAGUAAAAUAAAAUCAGGUCUCCCCCAUCUGUAAAAAGGAGAAGAAUGGAUUGGAUGACCUCUACUGUUCCUCCCCAUUUCUACAUCUAUGUACUUCUAUUCACCAGAAUUAAUACCAAGGAGAGAUAACAGAUGGCUCCACGAGAAUGCACAUUUUCUGAACAGAAUGAAGACUUGAGCAGCAAAAUCCUAUAACUUCAAAGGGUCCAAUUUCAAGUUGGAGAAGAAGCAGGAAAGUAUUCAAUAAUAACAAGUUCACUUUACAGAGGAGGAAAUGCCAAACUAAUAUUUAAGUGAUUCAUUCAGAAUCACAUAGAACAGAAACUAUAUAUAAACCUAGGUCUUAUGGCUCUGGAUCUCUCGAUUCUCCAAACUGUGCCCAAUAGCUAAUCUCAUUUUAUCAUGAACAGCACUUAUAUCUGCAUAACAGAUCAAAGAUUAAGAGGGAUUUUUUU